rnacentral:SRP_RNA from 1 species
GCAUUGGUACUCCGCAUCAGUGUGCCGCGAACCCCGCCAGGUCCGGAAGGAAGCAACGGUAGUGGUGAUAUUGAGUGCCGGAGAGCGCUGGUGCAGG